rnacentral:rRNA from 1 species
AUACGGAGGGUGCGAGCGUUAAUCGGAAUUACUGGGCGUAAAGCGCGCGUAGGCGGUUUGGUCAGUCGGAUGUGAAAGCCCUGGGCUCAACCUGGGAAUGGCAUUCGAUACUGCCUGACUAGAGUAUGGUAGAGGGAAGUGGAAUUCCCGGUGUAGCGGUGAAAUGCGUAGAUAUCGGGAAGAACACCAGUGGCGAAGGCGGCUACCUGGACCAAUACUGACGCUGAGGCGCGAAAGCGUGGGGAGCAAACAGGAUUAGAAACCCCGGUAGUCC